rnacentral:misc_RNA from 1 species
GAAAAAAAAAAAUCUUCAAUCCACAAUCUAUCCAUGGAGAGAUAAUCUCUCGGAGAAGAGGAAUCAAUUAUGUCUGAAGUUUCAUGGAAAGUCAUUUAAUUUUCCCGGAAAGUUAGAGAAGUUUUUACGGAAAUGGACGAGACUUUCUUCGAUCUGAUGGAGCUUUGGAAGAAACCCUCGAUCACCGAAAUAUUCGUCGACAUUUUGCUUUGUGCAGUGCCUAUAUGGCUCGCCGUCAUGAUCGGCCUCGUUAUUGGCUGGUCGUGGCGCCCCAGGUGGACUGGCUUGGUUUUCCUUGGCCUUCGAAGCAAGUUCAGGUUUUUGUGGACGGCGCCGCCGGGGUUUGGAGCUCGACGGCUCUGGUUGGCUUUCACGGCUCUCUCGGCUUUCUCUGUUUGCCGCACCAUCUGGUCCAAUUUCAAGGGUAAGAAUGGAAAAUCAGCGGCGACGGCAGCAACUUCCGCAUCGACGCUGCCGGCCUUGGCGAGAAAUUCGGGUGAGGGUGGCAGUGAUUCUAUUAGCUCCCAUAGUGAACCUCAGGCAGGAGAGGAAAUUGUCACAGAGAAUGAUUUAGAACACCUGUUGCAUCUUCUUGAGGGUAAGGAUGGACAAAUGGAAUGGCAAUCUAUGAUGGAAAGGUCUACCUCGAACAUGGCAUAUCAAGCUUGGUGCCUUGAGCAUCAGGUAGAUUCCAACUCUGCCUUUUGCCAGCUGAAACUGCUUCUUGAAUUGUUGGCAUCUAAUGUAACUGUGCCCUCCCUCUUCCCCUGUUUUAGCAGCCAAUUCAUAAUCACCCAUUAAGCACAUGUUGUUUUAGGAAUUGUUAGUAUAUGCCCUUCGAUUGCUUGUUCUGACAACUUAUGAAUAUUGCAGGACACUUUUUUCCCAUAUGACUCUCUUGGCAUUUUCUGGAUCUAGUUUGCAGGCAUCUAUGUGUUAUUAUUUUUUGUCAUAACAUGCCAGGCUAUUCAGCUUAAGGAUGCCUGAUGUCUGGUGGCAUGUUGUUUAAUGUGUUAUAAUGUACCUUAGUUGUCUUCCCAUCUUCAAAUGAUAUAACUGUAUUGUUUAAUGAUUCUGAGAGUAACAUGUAUUAGUAUUUGGUGGUGAUUUUGUUCAUCAGACAGGUCCUACUAUAUUUCGUAGUAAAACUAUCUUUGAGGAUGCAACUGCAGAACUGGUUAGAGAUUUCUUCUGGGAUGAUGAGUUUCGACUUAAAUGGGAUCCGAUGCUUGCAUACUUCGAAAUAUUAGAGGAAUUCCCUUGUACAGGGACGAUGAUUGUUCACUGGAUAAAAAAGGUUAGUGGAAUGAAUAUGUGCAUAAUGUAUCUGAUUGAUAUCAUGGUUUCUUAAUGCUUCUUGCAUGUUCUGUGACAAGUCUUGUUGAAUGUCAAAGAGUUUGUUCCUCCAAUUUGCAGUUCCCAUUUUUCUGCAGUGAUCGUGAAUAUAUCAUUGGUCGAAGAAUAUGGGAGGCUGGGAAGACAUAUUAUUGUGUGACCAAGGUAUGGAUUGGGACAUUUUAUGAUUCAUGUUUUACUGUUGCUUCUUUUCCUGCUUUUCAAGUAGGAGGACCUUUCAUACUACUAUCUUCUAAAAAGGAAAAAUAGUUUGAUUGGAGUCCAGUGGUUAAUUUUAGAUAUAGUGCGAGUAAUCUUAUAUCUAAACAAAAUGCGUUUUUCUUUGUCCCUAUUAAUUCCGCAAUCCAGUCAAUCUUCUAUCUCAUGGUGUACUAAAAUUUAGAUUUUCAUAUAGAUUUUCGGAAUCCCCCUUUCUUACCUCUGUUGAUUAAAAACCUUGUUGUUACUUUAUUUAUUAAUAUUAAUAUCACUUGAUUAUAUAGAGUGUAGGGAGCUAGAAAAUAUACAGAAUAACAUGAUUAUAAAUAAUUGAUGUGGAUAAUGAGUGCUGAUAUGCCGAGGCUACAACAUCGCAGGGGGUGCCAUAUCCUGGCCUGCCCAAGCGUGACAAGCCAAGGCGUGUGGAGCAUUAUUUCUCGAGUUGGGUUAUCAGGGCUGUGGAAUCUCGCAAGGGUGAUGGACAGAUGUCUGCAUGUGAAGUUAUCCUUUUGCAUUAUGAGGACAUGGGAAUACCCAAAGAUGUGGCUAAGUUGGGAGUGCGUCAUGGUAUGUGGGGAACUGUCAAGAAGUUGCAUUCUGGCAUGAGAGCAUAUCAGAAUUCUAGGAAAACAGAGGCUUCAUUGUCGAGAAGCGCACUCAUGGCAAGGAUCACAACGAAAAUUUCUUUUGAUGAAAGCACAGAUUCUGCAGAGCCUGUUAGCCGAGAAGAGGAUAAAGGUCAAGUGGUAGACAUAAAAAGACACAUGGAUCAUGGCAUUGACUGGAAAUGGAUAGUCAUAGGAGGAACAGUAGCUCUGGUGUGUGGACUUCAUUCUGGUGCAAUUGGGAAGGCCUUGUUACUUGGUGCAGGGCAAAGAAUUGCACGGAGAUGAGAGUUUUCUAGUCAAGGACAUUUUACCCCUAUCUGAUUUUUAAGGACUAGUUAAAUUUUUACUCAACCAGUUGAGGUAUCAAUUAUCAUUAUCAAAAGAUCAAUGACGUUUUAUUAAAUUUUCUAUGUUGGCACUGAUUUUUUUAUCAUUUUAUCUCAUCUGUUUGUGAUUGCAAACACGCUGUGG